GGGGGAACACACUGCUGCUGGCAAGACCUCCAAGGGGCUGGGGAAAAAAGAUCCCACUACUCUGCUUCUCCACUGGUGUCAUCCCUGAGCUGAGGCUACAGGUGUUGGAGCUGGCCAUGUAUCCCACAGAUCCUCCCCCAAUGCUAUGGUUACUUCUUGGUGACCUCACUACAAUGACAAAGCUGCCACCAGUGCUUUGAGUCCAACUCUCUUAGGGAACCUGAGAUGCUGGGAUGGCACCAAGUCUGGACAAAGAGCCCUCCCCACAGAGAAGAAGGAGAUUGAAAAUGGGGUACCAUGAAAUAUUUCAACAGUAUUGAUGUUAAAAGGAAAAAAUACUUGAAGUCCAGUGAACACAAACUGUGAAAGGAAAGCCUGAGACCUUAACUUCAAAGACUAACUACACAGAAG